rnacentral:rRNA from 1 species
AGCAGCCGCGGUAAUUCCAGCUCCAAUAGCGUAUAUUAAAGUUGUUGCAGUUAAAAAGCUCGUAGUUGAAUUUUGGGAUUGGGCGAUUGGUCCGUUCUUGAACGAGUACUUUUCGGUCGGUCCUCACUGCUUGGCGAGGCGAAAUGUCCUUUAUUGGGUGUUGCGAGUAGCCAAGACCUUUACCUUGAAAAAUUAGAGUGUUUAAAGCAGGCAUAUGCCGGAAUACAUUAGCAUGGAAUAAUAGAAUAGGACAAUGAUUCUAUUUUGUUGGUUUCUAGGACCGUUGUAAUGAUUAAUAGGGAUAGUUGGGGGCAUUAGUAUUCAAUUGUCAGAGGUGAAAUUCUUGGAUUUAUUGAAGACUAACUAUUGCGAAAGCAUUUGCCAAGGAUGUUUUCAUUAAUCAAGAACGAAAGUUAGGGGAUCGAAGACGAUCAGAUACCGUCGUAGUCU